rnacentral:tRNA from 4 species
UGGGGAAUAGUGCAACGGUAGCACAAAUGACUCUGGAUCAUUUAAUCUAGGUUCGAAUCCUAGUUCCCCAGCCA